GAUUUUAAGAAAAUGGCGAACAACAUAAAUUGAGCAAUUCAAUUUACAGUCUCGUCUCAUCACUGCAACUCCCGUACGGACUCGGGAGAGGCGAAGGUCAAGAGCCGUGCGUCCUCCGAAACACAACCCAGACAAGCCGCACUGCUUCUUGACACGAUGAUCGCUUAACCUGGAAGCCAGCCGCACCAACGUGUCGGACCUGGUCCGGCACAUGAGUCGCUAGUGCGCGAUAGGACAAGAACAUCCCUGCCGGCCAAACCCUUACCAAAUCCGUCCGACGCUGGGCUAAUUGUGCGCCACCCCAUGGGUCUCACGGUCGCGGCCGGCUGCGACAGAGCCUGGACUCGAACCAGAAUCCCUAGUGCUCCAGCUAGCGAUGCAGUGCCUUAGACCCUCCCAUACAGAUUUCUUUGAAAAAAUGUCUUCCCUUACUAUUCCCAUCCCAUUGCCUCUGCCAGCAAUGUAACCCAUUUUCCCUAAUCAAUAUGUACAUUUCUCUAAUUAACUGCACCUGUAUAUCCACAAUAUUAUUUUUCACUGCUUUCUUUGCUAUUAUAUCUACUAUAUAAUUUUAACUAACUCCUGUAUGAGUAGGAAUGCAACAAAACUGAACAACAGCGUCAUUACUUCUACAAAUGAAUCCUCUCGUUCUGAUUUUCCAGAUCUUUUUUACCUUUAUUUAACUAGGCAAGUCAGUUAAGAACAAAUUCUUAUUUUCAAUGACGGCCUAUGAACAGUGGGCUAACUGCCUGUUCGGGGCAGAACGACAGAUUUGUACCUUGUCAGCUCGGGGGUUUGAACUUGCAAGCUUCCGGUUGCUAGUCCACCACUAGGCUACCCUACCCAUCUUAAACUACACAAAACUGAUGCAGAGUCCAAACAAAUUACAACUCUUGGUUGCACCUCUAUCCAUUGCAAUACAACAAUCACAACCAUUUCUGUUGAAUAUACAAAUAAAUUACUUUAUUUUCUUCAA